CUUCUGCUUUGCCUAAAAACAUCACCUGUCUUUCCUGGACUGAGCCUAAACCAGCUAAACUUUCAUCCAGGUUCCUACCUCAACUGGACUUUGAAAGCAGGAAAACAGCUGGGUGAAAAAGCUUGAUGAAAAAGAUGUAGAACCGAUUUAGUAAUAGCAUGGUCCAUAAAGUCUCCCAUUCAUCUAUAAUGUCCCUGCACACACCAUUCUGUUGCUUCACAGAUACCACAGAGACGUGGUGGAUUAUGUAGACAGAACGCCAGCGCUCUGUGGACGUCCAGCAUGUGUAGGGACACCUCCCUGUUGUCAGCAUGUGGCUUGGGGAAGAAUACAGGGAGGUAUAUUUCCAGUGUCUUUAAUGUUGCACGGGAGUCCUUGAAGGUGUGUAAGGAUACAUCCGUGCUCUCUGCAAACAGUUUUUGGCCUUCGAAAGAAAUGGGCUGCAGUGCUGCUGGCCUGCAUUAGAGGCCGCUGGACCCAGCAGAGCUCAACUCUCACAUAGAAGACACUGCUGGGGAAGGGGGAGAGAGCUAGAGGGUUCCCGGCAGCUUCAGUUCCCAGCAUGCCCUGAAGAAAGGAGGCAGUGGUGUGCAGGAAACUCCACACAAGCCCGGGACUGAGCAUCAGGCUGUUUUUCCCUCUGGAUCCCUGAGCUCUGAGAGGUAGAGAGGGACUCCUGAUGGACUGGCUGUGGGAAUAAGUCCGAGUUUUGUGGUAAAGGAAGCUAUUGUCUAAAGGUUCCCUACCUCAUUUGUUGCAGAAACUGGAAGGUGUGUAGUAAAUGAAGCAAGGGUUAAGAUAGUUGAAUGCUGCCCUGGAGCACUGGAUUCUAUUCCUGCUUCUGCUGCAGAGUUCCUAUGGGAUGCUAGCCAUGUCAUGUAAGCCAAAAACAAUUCACGCAGGUGGUCACUAAUUGUGUGUUCUUCAUUUUCUAGGGGUCUGACUUGAGACCCUGGGGUCUGAUUUGCAGAAGUGCUAAGCUCUCACAGCUGCAAUGGAAGCCAGUGGGAGAUGUGCUUUGAAUAUGUGAAGUGCUAUAUAAUGCUAACUAAGUAUUCUGAAAAGUCGAUUUCAAGGUGUCUCAAAUGGGGCACCCAAAAUUAGUAGGUACUUGUGAUCUUUCUGUGCCUCAGUUCCUCAUCUAUAAAAUGGAGAUGAUACUAGUCCCUCACCUCACGGAGGAGUUGUGAAAAAUACCUUCAUUAAUAUUAGUGAAACAGAUAUUAUAGUGAUAAGUGCCACAGAAAAGCCUGUGAGGAAAUUAAUAAUGCUAUUCAAACCCUGCUCUGAAUAUAAAUACAGCUUGGGGGCCAAACACUGAAAAAUGAGACGACAAAAUAUUGAAUACCUGCUCAUUAAAGACUGCAUAAUGCAUAUGCACAAGAGAGCUGAAAUUUUGGCAUUUCCUAUCUUCUGGGCACUAGACUUUGCAACCGGAAUAAUGUUUUUAACAGAGUUUCUGUUUGUAAUAUUAUAUAUGUGCAGAUAUAUUUGCAUAUAUUUUAUAUU